rnacentral:rRNA from 1 species
AGAGUUUGAUCAUGGCUCAGAUUGAACGCUGGCGGCAGGCCUAACACAUGCAAGUCGAGCGGUAGCACAGAGAGCUUGCUCUCGGGUGACGAGCGGCGGACGGGUGAGUAAUGUCUGGGAAACUGCCUGAUGGAGGGGGAUAACUACUGGAAACGGUAGCUAAUACCGCAUAACGUCGCAAGACCAAAGUGGGGGACCUUCGGGCCUCAUGCCAUCAGAUGUGCCCAGAUGGGAUUAGCUAGUAGGUGGGGUAACGGCUCACCUAGGCGACGAUCCCUAGCUGGUCUUAGAGGAUGACCAGCCACACUGGAACUGAGACACGGUCCAGACUCCUACGGGAGGCAGCAGUGGGGAAUAUUGCACAAUGGGCGCAAGCCUGAUGCAGCCAUGCCGCGUGUGUGAAGAAGGCCUUCGGGUUGUAAAGCACUUUCAGCGGGGAGGAAGGCGUUAAGGUUAAUAACCUUGGCGAUUGACGUUACCCGCAGAAGAAGCACCGGCUAACUCCGUGCCAGCAGCCGCGGUAAUACGGAGGGUGCAAGCGUUAAUCGGAAUUACUGGGCGUAAAGCGCACGCAGGCGGUCUGUCAAGUCGGAUGUGAAAUCCCCGGGCUCAACCUGGGAACUGCAUUCGAAACUGGCAGGCUAGAGUCUUGUAGAGGGGGGUAGAAUUCCAGGUGUAGCGGUGAAAUGCGUAGAGAUCUGGAGGAAUACCGGUGGCGAAGGCGGCCCCCUGGACAAAGACUGACGCUCAGGUGCGAAAGCGUGGGGAGCAAACAGGAUUAGAUACCCUGGUAGUCCACGCCGUAAACGAUGUCGAUUUGGAGGUUGUGCCCUUGAGGCGUGGCUUCCGGAGCUAACGCGUUAAAUCGACCGCCUGGGGAGUACGGCCGCAAGGUUAAAACUCAAAUGAAUUGACGGGGGCCCGCACAAGCGGUGGAGCAUGUGGUUUAAUUCGAUGCAACGCGAAGAACCUUACCUGGUCUUGACAUCCACAGAACUUAGCAGAGAUGCUUUGGUGCCUUCGGGAACUGUGAGACAGGUGCUGCAUGGCUGUCGUCAGCUCGUGUUGUGAAAUGUUGGGUUAAGUCCCGCAACGAGCGCAACCCUUAUCCUUUGUUGCCAGCGGUCCGGCCGGGAACUCAAAGGAGACUGCCAGUGAUAAACUGGAGGAAGGUGGGGAUGACGUCAAGUCAUCAUGGCCCUUACGACCAGGGCUACACACGUGCUACAAUGGCAUAUACAAAGAGAAGCGACCUCGCGAGAGCAAGCGGACCUCAUAAAGUAUGUCGUAGUCCGGAUUGGAGUCUGCAACUCGACUCCAUGAAGUCGGAAUCGCUAGUAAUCGUAGAUCAGAAUGCUACGGUGAAUACGUUCCCGGGCCUUGUACACACCGCCCGUCACACCAUGGGAGUGGGUUGCAAAAGAAGUAGGUAGCUUAACCUUCGGGAGGGCGCUUACCACUUUGUGAUUCAUGACUGGGGUGAAGUCGUAACAAGGUAACCGUAGGGGAACCUGCGGUUG